rnacentral:rRNA from 1 species
UACGUAGGCAGCAAGCGUUUGUUCGGAAUUACUGGGCGUAAAGAGUGUGUAGGCGGUGCUCCAAGUCUGGUGUGAAAUCUCCCGGCUUAGCUGGGAGGGUGCAUUAGAAACUGGAAUGCUAGAGGAUGGGAGAGGUAAGCGGAAUUCCUGGUGUAGCGGUGAAAUGCGUAGAUAUCAGGAGGAACACCUGUGGUGUAGACAGCUUACUGGACCAUUUCUGACGCUGAGACACGAAAGCGUGGGUAGCAAACAGG